rnacentral:ncRNA from 1 species
CUUUCCGCAACCUCGGCCCACCCGUACCGCAACUUUCGUUGAGCCGCGCCACGGAAUCAACAGCUCCAAGUGGGCCAUUUUUGGUAAGCAGAACUGGCGAUGCGGGAUGAACCGGAAGCCGGGUUACGGUGCCCAACUGCGCGCUAACCUAGAUCCCACAAAGGGUGUUGGUCGAUUAAGACAGCAGGACGGUGGUCAUGGAAGUCGAAAUCCGCUAAGGAGUGUGUAACAACUCACCUGCCCGAAUCAACUAGCCCCGGAAAAUGGAUGGCGCUUAAGCGCGCGACCUAUACCCGGCCGUCGGGGGCAAGAGCUAGGCCCGAUGAGUAGGAGGGCGCGGCGGUCGCUGGCAAAACUUGGGCGCGAGCCCGGGCGGAGCGGCCGUCGGUG